AAAGCUUUAGCUUAAUUAAAGCGCUUGUUUUGCAAGCAAGAAAUGUGAGUU
rnacentral:tRNA from 1 species